AACGAUAUAUUUUAUAAAGAAUAUUGGGUUUGCGUCUCAAAGGUGGAAUUUCUUAUCGUUA
rnacentral:tRNA from 1 species